rnacentral:rRNA from 1 species
CUACGGGGCGCAGCAGUGGGGAAUCUUGCACAAUGGGGGAAACCCUGAUGCAGCGACGCCGCGUGAGCGAUGAAGCCCUUCGGGGUGUAAAGCUCUUUCAGCAGGAACGAUUAUGACGGUACCUGCAGAAGAAGCUGCGGCUAACUACGUGCCAGCAGCCGCGGGUAAUACGUAGGCAGCAAGCGUUGUUCGGAGUUACUGGGCGUAAAGAGUGCGUAGGCGGUUCGGUAAGUUCGGUGUGAAAUCUCCCGGCUCAACUGGGAGGGUGCGCCGAAAACUACCGUGCUUGAGCAUGGGAGAGGGAAGCGGAAUUCCUGGUGUAGCGGUGAAAUGCGUAGAUAUCAGGAGGAACACCGGUGGUGUAGACGGCUUCCUGGACCAUUGCUGACGCUGAGGCACGAAAGCGUGGGGAGCAAACAGGAUUAGAUACCCUGGUAGUC